AACGAACGCUGGCGGCAUGCCUAACACAUGCAAGUCGAACGAGACCUUCGGGUCUAGUGGCGCACGGGUGCGUAACGCGUGGUAACCUGCCCUUAGGUUCGGAAUAACUCCCCGAAAGGGGUGCUAAUACCGGAUAAUGUCUUCGGACCAAAGAUUUAUCGCCUUUGGAUGGGCCCGCGUUGGAUUAGCUAGUUGGUAGGGUAAAAGCCUACCAAGGCGACGAUCCAUAGCUGGUCAGAGAGGAUGAUCAGCCACACUGGGACUGAGACACGGCACAGACUACUACGGGAGGCAGCAGUGGGGAAUAUUGGACAAUGGGCGAAAGCCUGAUCCAGCAAUGCCGCGUGAGUGAUGAAGGCCUUAGGGUUGUAAAGCUCUUUUACCAGGGAUGAUAAUGACAGUACCGGGAGAAUAAGCACCGGCUAACUCCGUG
rnacentral:rRNA from 1 species